CGGAGGGUGCAAGCGUUAUCCGGAUUCACUGGGUUUAAAGGGUGCGUAGGUGGGCAAGUAAGUCAGUGGUGAAAUCUCCGGGCUUAACCCGGAAACUGCCAUUGAUACUAUUUGUCUUGAAUACUGUGGAGGUCAGCGGAAUAUGUCAUGUAGCGAUGAAAUGCUUAGAUAUGACAUAGAACACCAAUUGCGAAGGCAGCUGGCUACACAAAUAUUGACACUGAGGCACGAAAGCGUGGGGAUCAAACAGGAUUAGAUACCCUGGUAGUCCACGCCCUAAACUAUGGAUACUCGACAUUUGCGAUAAACUGCAAGUGUCUGAGCGAAAGCAUUAAGUAUCCCACCUGGAAGUACGAUCGCAAGAUU
rnacentral:rRNA from 1 species